AUACGUAGGUGGCAAGCGUUGUCCGGAAUUAUUGGGCGUAAAGCGCGCGCAGGUGGUUCCUUAAGUCUGAUGUGAAAGCCCCCGGCUCAACCGGGGAGGGUCAUUGGAAACUGGGGAACUUGAGUGCAGAAGAGGAUAGUGGAAUUCCAAGUGUAGCGGUGAAAUGCGUAGAUAUUUGGAGGAACACCAGUGGCGAAGGCGACUGUCGGGUAUGUAACUGACACUGAGGCGCGAAAGCGUGGGGAGCAAACAGGAUUAGAUACCCUGGUAGUCCACGCCGUAAACGAUGAGUGCUAAGUGUUGGGGGGUUGCCGCCCCUCAGUGCUGCAGCUAACGCAUUAAGCACUCCGCCUGGGGAGUACGGUCGCAAGACUGAAACUUAAAUGAAUUGACGGGG
rnacentral:rRNA from 1 species